CAUCCAGGAAAGCAAGAAAAAGGCAGUGCUUGUCUGCGGAAGUGUUCAUCCAUUUCUUUCUUUUUUUUUUUUUUUUGAGAUGGAAUCUCGCUCUGUUGCCAGGCUGGAUCUGCCUCAGCCUCCUGAGUAGCUGGGAUUACAGGCACCCGCCACCACGCCUGGCCUUUUUGUAUUUUUAGUAGAUACAGAGAUUCACCAUGUUAGUCAGGCUGGCCUCGAACUCCUGACCUCAAAUGAUCCACCCGCCUUGGCCUCCCAAAAUGCUGGGAUUACAGGUGUAAGCCACCACGCUCGGCCACCUAACCAUUUUUCCAAAGGAAGAAUCCCCAAGUCUCUCGACCUGGCAAUCCUACUUCUUGGCAUUUGUCUUGUGGAUAUACACCCAGGAAGAAUUGCCUAAUUACAACCAUAGAUGCUCUGCCGUGGUUGUGGAGUGCAAUGAGGAGGCAGGGACGUCCCUGAGAAGGCUGCCCUGGCACCUGAGACACUGGUGGGAACGAUGGCUUCUGCUUUCAUCUCAGAAUUGCCAGCCCAUGUGCGGUGGGAUUUUAGGAAAGCUGGAGCCAAAAGAUGGAAGCAACCCAUGCGUCUCUGAAUGGAGGAGUGGAUGAACAAAACGUGAUCCAUCUAUAAAAUGGACUAUGAUUCAGCCGCGAAAAGGAAUGAAGCAGCGACACGCACUACGCCAUGGAUGGAACUUGAGAACAACACACUCAGGGAAAGACGCCGGGCACAAAGGCCACAUGUUGUAGGAUUCCAUCUGCAUGAAAUGUCCCAAACUGGCAAAUCCAUGGAGAGGAGUGCGCACAGGGGCCAGGGAGCUGGGAGGUGGUGACAGAU